GGUUGAGCUGCCGUAAUCCCCAGAAGAUUCAACAUGAAGUACACAGAGAGAAAUUUGCUACAAAAAUCUAAGUAAUCAAAGUUAAAAAAUUGGUGCAGAGAAGAUCACAUACAAAAGAUCAUCCAAGGAAGACCUGAGACAUCCCACAUUUCAGAAGACUCUAUGCAAACACUCAAGAGUGAACAAACCAAAAUGACCCAAGCUGUUUUUAAUGAAGAUUCUCCACAAAGCCCAGAAAAUCAGUGAGCCCUUCUGCAAGAAUAAACAUCAAAUAAAACCGAAGAUUUUAAACCAGUAAUUUUUGUUGGUGUUUUCUACAGAUAGUCCAUGAGAAACUUUCUACUUCAUUUCCCUACAGUGAGAUCAUCUUUAGCUAUAGAAAUUAAUGUGAUGUUAAAAAUAAGCAUGGUGAGGUUAUGCUGUAUGAUGAGCUGAGGAAAGAGAUUGAAACAGUAAAGGGUUUCUC